UACGGAGGGUGCAAGCAUUAUCCGGAAUCACUGGGUUUAAAGGGUGCGUAAGCGGCUGUAUAAGUCAGAGGUGAAAGCCCGGAGCUUAACUUCGGAACUGCCUUUGAUACUGUAUAGCUUGAAAUAGGUUGAGGUCAGCGGAAUGUGGCAUGUAGCGGUGAAAUGCAUAGAUAUGCCAUAGAACACCAAUUGCGAAGGCAGCUGGCUAAACCUUAUUUGACGCUGAGGCACGAAAGCGUGGGGAGUGAACAGG
rnacentral:rRNA from 1 species